AUGUUGUCCUAUGUUACCAAAGUAGAAGAAGAAGCAAUGAUCUUUCAAAAGGUUGAGACUUUGAGAGCCCAGAGCCUUGGAAUAAAGUCACACCGUGUUCCGGAAGAAGGAAAGGUGACCCAAAAGGUGUCCUCUGUAUCCAUCCGAAACCUCUUGGCUUAUUUACAAAAGAGAGUCAGAUCCAUUUCAAAUCACCUCUUCUUUCCAAAAUAUAAGGCUAUUUUUAGACCCAUUUCCACAAGUCUUCAGAGGCAAGCUGUGUUUUUUUUGCAUAUGCUGUCACAAUGUCCUGGAAUGAUCUUGAAUUUACUUUGGGCUCCACCGAGAAUGGAAUCCGAAUGUAGAGGAGGCAACAACACAAGGAGCCAUCAUUUUCCCUGGUCCUGGGCUUCAGGCCUUUGGUCCAUCCAUCACCUGCCUCAACAACACACAGCUUGGAGCCUUUUACAAAUCCAGCCCUCCUUCGGUGCUUUCAUUUCUCUUUAGAAGGUAAGUAUGAAACUUCUUUUGAGAUAUUCCAGCUGAUGAAAGCCGCUGUCAAAAUGCAAAUGAUUUAGUAUUAUUUACUGUCUCAUUAAUCUUGGAUGAAAGACUUGGCACCCUGCUUUUUUUUGGAGGGGAAACAGGCUCCUGGGCUUAUGAAUCAAAGAACUGGAGAAAUGGAUGAAGAAAGUUUGGUGGGGAAGGACUUUCCAAACUCUUUUAUCGCUAUGAGAAGUGCCUAGAUUUCAGUGGGGACUUUGUUGAGAAGUCUGGCUUUCAACUGCAUAUGGUAAAUGUUUUCUCCUAUACUUUGUCCAAUUUUUGUUGUAUAUAUUUUUUAUUACGAAGUUUAUAAGCAACUCGCACAUUUCUUGUUACAAUAGUAAUUCUCUUUUUCACCAUAUAAUAAAAACAUACAUGAAGUCAGGGUAUUGGGGGGGGGGAGAGAAAGGGUAGGUAACUUCAACAUAAAGGGAAACAUUGACAUAAAAGGUGAAUGACAAUAUUGAAACAACAGAAAAAAACAAAAACAAAAACAGAAACAAAAAGACCCACAACAACAGCUUGGGAUAUACAUGUAUACAGUUGCUUUAAUGUCCUUGUUACUUCCAGAGCUCUGGAUAUGGUCUUUUUGUUUUAUUUUUCCUGUCUUUUAGUUUUGUAGUUACACAUAUUUAACUACCUUUAUUUUUGUUAAAGUAGGAAUGAUUGUAUAUAGAGUUGUUUAAAUGUAAUUGAGUCAUGGUGGUGCAAUGUGUGCUGGAGAUUGCAUCAUGCACUGUGUACUGUUUACUAUGCCAGUAUGUAAAGUGCCUGCAAACUUGGAUUGCAUCAGACAGCAGAGUCUGGGAUAAAGUGCCCUCUGCUUCCUAUCUUUUUUCCUUCUUUGUUUUUCCUUCCCAUCUAUGCCUGCGUGAGAACUGUGUAUUCCGUUCGUGAGUAAAACUUUUGAUAGAGAACUGAAGACUCCAACGUCAUUAUUUAUCUAGUGUUUUCUCGUCAGUGACUUCUGCUGCGUGUGUGCCUAGCCAAGCACUCUGACAGUUGGUUAUGGGCCCAGCACGCUUCCGCUGAGCCUUGUUCCGUUCCUAGAAUCGUAUCUUGUAAUCCUUCCCUGCGUCCUGUUAUCCCCUGGAAUUUCCUUACUCAAACUUUAUACAAAAGUUAAUUUCUCUCUUUUUGCAAGUAUUCAAUCAUAGGUUUCCAAUCUGUUUUCUCUUCAGAUCGUAUAAAUCUUUCGCCUUUUGCUUUGUCCAUUUUUAAUUCCAAAAUGUAAUCUACUUUCUGGAUAGCCCUCGUAGACCCCAACCAUACUCCUUUCAUACAAUUUCAUUCAAUCCAUACAUCAUAUAUUAAUCACAGCGUGAGCCAACAUGAGGAUGAAGUUGUUUUGCACAUUUUGUAUAGUUUGUGAUGUUACUUUAUCACACCUUUAUCAGACUGAUGAGGUGUAUCUGAAGUUCCAAAUAUAAGUUUUCAGGGGUCAUAUGAGGCCUGCAGUGCGCACUGCGCAGCUUCCCCAACCCUGAUCUACCUCUAAAGUCAUGAAAAGUUUGCAAUCCUAAUAUAGCACCAUAAUGAGACUUAUUCUUGGUGCAGCCUAAGGGGACAAAGGGGAAGGCAUCACUGCGUCCAUCCUGUUGAAAAGUAGGUUGCCGAUGUCACAAAGUAGCAAAGGUUCUCUUUUAAAGCUUCCUCUCAAAGCUCACUCCGGCCCUUCCUCGGGCCCUUCACAUCUUCCGACACACAGCUGAUGCUGACACAGCAAAGUUGAGAAGUUCCGUGCUUUUGAAUCAAAGGCCCCUUUUAAGCAGGCAAAUC
ensembl:lncRNA